AUGAACGCUAGCUACAGGCUUAACACAUGCAAGUCGAGGGGCAUCAGGAAGAAAGCUUGCUUUCUUUGCUGGCGACCGGCGCACGGGUGAGUAACACGUAUCCAACCUGCCCUUUACUCGGGGAUAGCCUUUCGAAAGAAAGAUUAAUACCCGAUAGCAUAAUGAUUCCGCAUGGUUUCAUUAUUAAAGGAUUCCGGUAAAGGAUGGGGAUGCGUUCCAUUAGGUUGUUGGUGAGGUAACGGCUCACCAAGCCUUCGAUGGAUAGGGGUUCUGAGAGGAAGGUCCCCCACAUUGGAACUGAGACACGGUCCAAACUCCUACGGGAGGCAGCAGUGAGGAAUAUUGGUCAAUGGGCGCUAGCCUGAACCAGCCAAGUAGCGUGAAGGAUGAAGGCUCUAUGGGUCGUAAACUUCUUUUAUAUAAGAAUAAAGUGCAGUAUGUAUACUGUUUUGUAUGUAUUAUAUGAAUAAGGAUCGGCUAACUCCGUGCCAGCAGCCGCGGUAAUACGGAGGAUCCGAGCGUUAUCCGGAUUUAUUGGGUUUAAAGGGAGCGUAGGUGGACUGGUAAGUCAGUUGUGAAAGUUUGCGGCUCAACCGUAAAAUUGCAGUUGAUACUGUCAGUCUUGAGUACAGUAGAGGUGGGCGGAAUUCGUGGUGUAGCGGUGAAAUGCUUAGAUAUCACGAAGAACUCCGAUUGCGAAGGCAGCUCACUGGACUGCAACUGACACUGAUGCUCGAAAGUGUGGGUAUCAAACAGGAUUAGAUACCCUGGUAGUCCACACAGUAAACGAUGAAUACUCGCUGUUUGCGAUAUACAGUAAGCGGCCAAGCGAAAGCAUUAAGUAUUCCACCUGGGGAGUACGCCGGCAACGGUGAAACUCAAAGGAAUUGACGGGGGCCCGCACAAGCGGAGGAACAUGUGGUUUAAUUCGAUGAUACGCGAGGAACCUUACCCGGGCUUAAAUUGCAGUGGAAUGAUGUGGAAACAUGUCAGCGAGCAAUCACCGCUGUGAAGGUGCUGCAUGGUUGUCGUCAGCUCGUGCCGUGAGGUGUCGGCUUAAGUGCCAUAACGAGCGCAACCCUUAUCUUUAGUUACUAACAGGUUAUGCUGAGGACUCUAGAGAGACUGCCGUCGUAAGAUGUGAGGAAGGUGGGGAUGACGUCAAAUCAGCACGGCCCUUACGUCCGGGGCUACACACGUGUUACAAUGGGGGGUACAGAAGGCAGCUAGCGGGUGACCGUAUGCUAAUCCCAAAAGCCUCUCUCAGUUCGGAUUGGAGUCUGCAACCCGACUCCACGAAGCUGGAUUCGCUAGUAAUCGCGCAUCAGCCACGGCGCGGUGAAUACGUUCCCGGGCCUUGUACACACCGCCCGUCAAGCCAUGGGAGCCGGGGGUACCUGAAGUGCGUAACCGCGAGGAGCGCCCUAGGGUAAAACUGGUGACUGGGGCU
rnacentral:rRNA from 1 species